CCAGCCCUGCCACGGAUCAGUCCCCCUGGCAGUGUCCCCGCUGGCCGGGUGACCCCAGGGCUGACCCCUGGCUGAUGGGAGGGUCCCCUCCAUGCCACCAGCUCACCCGGCCUCUCCCUAAAGGGUGGGAAUGGCCAGAGACCCCUUCCCCACCUGCCACCCAGGGAAUGCCCCUCCCGGACAGGAGAAGAGGGACAGGAAGUGCUGCCACCUCCAGCCACACGUCCCCAAGCUGGGGACACCCCACCGCAGAGGCCGGGGACUCACCUCGGAGCCAGGCGGCCGCUUGCGCGGGGCCCCAGGAGCGCACGGGCUCCAUGGCGGCGGCGGGGCCGGAGCGGCGGCGGGCGCGGCUGUUACCGGGGCCGGGCACGGCUCUCACCGGGGCCGGGCGCGGCUCUCACCUGCACCGGCAGCCGCAGCCCCAUUGGCGCUCCCGGGUGCCGCUCAGCGCCGUGCCCGCCCCGCACGGCCCGGGACGGUGCCGUGGGGCGAGGCCGCGGUGAGUCACAGCCCGGACGGUGACACACGGCCGCUGGAACCCGGGAAAUGACACCCGGUGUCACCCGCCAGCGAGGGCUGAGGCCCCACAGCACUUGUGACACCGGCGGGACACCCCCAGUUGCCCUGUGGGUGCGAAGUUAGACCCCCAGGAGAACACGAGGGAAGCCCCUGCUCAGCCCUGGAGUUUUUGGGGUGUCACCCCAACCCAAAGCAUAACUCACACCCCUUUACAGGUGGGGAAACUGAGGCAGCCCUAUACAGGCCUGCAGAGGAGCUGGCCCGCAGUUAAGCCCAGCCCUUCAGCCCCCCCAAAUCCACCCUGGGCUGGCCCCGGCCCCCCCGCCCGGCGUGUCCGCUCCGGGGAGCAGCGGGCGCUGAUCGCGGCUGACAGCCGCUGCUGCUCCGCGGCCGCCGCUGCUGCGCCCCGGCCCUGCCCGCGGGGCCACCGGGGGGCUCGGGGGGUCCCAGCCCCGCUGCUGCCGCCGCCCCACGGCCCCAUCCCGCUGCUCCUCGUCUCGCCAUGAUCAUCCGCCCCCGACGCCUGACCCCCGGCUACUUCCGUCUGCUGCAGAUGCAGCUGGCAGCGGGACGUGGGGCUGAGCCGGGGGGGCGGCUGCUGACCCCCCUGGCCCUGCUGCUGGCGGCCGCCGGGCUCUGCCUGUCCCUCUACAGCGCCCGGAGAAUGGCCGACCCCGGCAAGGCCCCCCCGGAGCCGUGAGGAGCGGCCCGGGGGCGUGGGGAUGGUCCCCGGGCCGUGUUGGGGUCCCCCGCCGCCCCCCGCCCGAGCGGAGCCGCUGCUGCCGCCACUCUCCGCAGCCGACCUGCGCCACACGCAGCCCUUCCACCGCCCUGGGGAUGGGGACACGCCUGUCCCCGCCUGUCCCCGCGUGUCCCCGCCUGGGGCAGCCGCGGUGGAGAACGGAGAAGCCGCUUCCAGCUCCAGAGCUGCCGGGGGGACAUCGGGACCCGACCACCAGAGCUGGACGGACAGAGGGACGGCAGAGCCGGGAGCUGCAUCCAUCCCCAUCCCCCGCGGCAGCAGAGGGGCCUGGGAACCCCAACUGGGGGCCACAGAGCCCCCCAUCCCCAUGGGAACGUGCUGGGGAGGGAGGCCAGCGCCGUUAGGUAACGGGCAGGGGGGACACGGGCGGUGACGUGACCCAGCUCCCCCCCCUUCCCAGGCCCGGGGGGGACAAAUCCGGGCAGGCUGCGUGGAAAUAAACCCUUCCCUACCCAGCA